rnacentral:tRNA from 1 species
GCCUUUGUGGUGUAACUGGGAGCACGUCCGACCAGCAAUCGGAAGUUUCAGAAGUUCGAAUCCUGGCGAGGGCA